AACGUACGCUGGCGGCACGCUUAACACAUGCAAGUCGAACGAAGUAGCAAUACUUAGUGGCAGACGGGUGAGUAACAUGUGGGUAUCUGCCCUUUGGCCUGGAAUAACACGAGGAAACUUGUGCUAAUACCGGAUAAGUCUUUACGGAGAAAGCUUUAUGCACCAUUGGAUGAGCCCGCACUUGAUUAGUUUGUUGGUGGGGUAAUGGCCUACCAAGACUAUGAUCAAUAGCUGAUUUGAGAGGAUGAUCAGCCACAUUGGGACUGAGACACGGCCCAAACUCCUACGGGAGGCAGCAGUGGGGAAUCUUGCACAAUGGAGGAAACUCUGAUGCAGCGAUGCCGCGUGAGUGAAGAAGGCCCUUGGGUUGUAAAGCUCUUUCGUCGGGGAAGAAAAUGACUGUACCCGAAUAAGAAGGUCCGGCUAACUUCGUGCCAGCAGCCGCGGUAAUACGAAGGGACCUAGCGUAGUUCGGAAUUACUGGGCUUAAAGAGUUCGUAGGUGGUUGAAAAAGUUAGUGGUGAAAUCCCAGAGCUUAACUCUGGAACUGCCAUUAAAACUUUUCAGCUAGAGUAUGAUAGAGGAAAGCAGAAUUUCUAGUGUAGAGGUGAAAUUCGUAGAUAUUAGAAAGAAUACCAAUUGCGAAGGCAGCUUUCUGGAUCAUUACUGACACUGAGGAACGAAAGCAUGGGUAGCGAAGAGGAUUAGAUACCCUCGUAGUCCAUGCCGUAAACGAUGUGUGUUAGACGUUGGAAAUUUAUUUUCAGUGUCGCAGCGAAAGCGAUAAACACACCGCCUGGGGAGUACGACCGCAAGGUUAAAACUCAAAUGAAUUGACGGGGACCCGCACAAGUAGUGGAGCAUGUGGUUUAAUUCGAAGAUACGCGCAGAACCUUACCAACACUUGACAUGUUCGUCGCGACUCUAAGAGAUUAGAGUUUUCGGUUCGGCCGGACGAAACACAGGUGCUGCAUGGCUGCCGUCAGCUCGUGUCGUGAGAUGUUGGGUUAAGUCCCGCAACGAGCGCAACCCUCACUUUUAGUUGCCAUCAUUAAGUUGGGCACUCUGAAAGAACUGCCAGUGAUAAGCUGGAGGAAGGUGGGGAUGACGUCAAGUCCUCAUGGCCCUUACGUGUUGGGCUACACACGUGCUACAAUGGUAUCUACAACAGGAAGCAAGACUGCGAGGUCAAGCAAAUCCUUAAAAGAUACCUCAGUUCGGAUUGCACUCUGCAACUCGAGUGCAUGAAGCUGGAAUUACUAGUAAUCGUGGAUCAGCGUGCCACGGUGAAUGCGUUCCCGGGUCU
rnacentral:rRNA from 1 species